rnacentral:rRNA from 1 species
GUCCCUAUCUGUCGUGGGCGCUGGAGAACUGAGGGGGGCUGCUCCUAGUACGAGAGGACCGGAGUGGACGCAUCACUGGUGUUCGGGUUGUCAUGCCAAUGGCACUGCCCGGUAGCUAAAUGCGGAAGAGAUAAGUGCUGAAAGCAUCUAAGCACGAAACUUGCCCCGAGAUGAGUUCUCCCUGAGACUUAGAGUCUCCUGAAGGAACGUUGAAGACGACGACGUUGAUAGGCCGGGUGUGUAAGCGCAGCGAUGCGUUGAGCUAACCGGUACUAAUGAACCGUGAGGCUUAACCUUACAACGCCGAAG